rnacentral:rRNA from 1 species
AUUUAAAUGAAAGGGCAUCCAAGGGAUACCUAGGUAGUCAGUAGAAAGGACGUAAUUUGAUGCGAUAAGCUAAGGUAAUGAAAACAAACAAUAACCUUAGAUUUCCUAUUGGUAAACCAUCCUUUUUAGGAUUCAAAAACUUGGUGAAGUGAAACAUCUCAAUAACCAAGGAAAAAAAUCAACCGAGAUUCUGGUAGUAGUGGCGAGCGAAUCCGGAUUUAGGCCAUAAAUAAUCAAUGUAUGUGAGAAGGCAAUAGCAGUGGAAUUUUGUUAACCAAGGUAGGUGAAAGUCCUCCAGUUUUCUAUUACGAUUAUUUUCGAGUAAAACGAGACAUGUGAAACCUUGUUUGAAAAUAGGAGAACCAUCUUCUAAGCCUAAAAAUACUGAACUAACCGAUAGUGUACAAGUACCGUGAGGGAAAGGCGAAAAGUCCUUAGGAGGCAUUAAAUUUUCCAAUGAAAUUGGAUGCCCAAUAUCUGAUGGAGCCCGUUAGGGUGACAUCGUACCUUUUGUAUAAUGGGUCAGCAACUUUAUUUAUUUAGCGUAGCUUAAACUUAGAAGUGGAGGCGUAACGAAAGUAAAACAGGUCUGAUAAGGGCCGGUUAGUUAAAUGAAUAAUACCCGAAACCGUGUGAUCUAGUUAUGAGCAGGCUGAAGUUCAUGUAACAAUGAGUGAAGGGCCGAACCCGUGUAUGUUGCAAAAUACUGGGAUGACUUGUGAUUAGGAGUGAAAGGCUAAUCAAACUCGGUAAUAGCUGGUUUUCUGCGAAAUCUAUUUUAGUAGAGCGUCAAGAAAUCUAAAUUUGGGGUAGAGCACUCAAUGGACUAGGGGGAUGAGAGUCUUACCAAACCCAAGGAAACUACGAAUACGAAUUUAUGAAAACUUGGCAGACAGACAUUGUGCGCGAAGGCUCAGUGUCAAAAGGGAAACAGCCCUUAUUAUCUGUUAAGGUCCUUAAGUAAUUUCUUAGUGAAUAAGGAAGUUGUAUUACCAUAACAACCAGGAGGUAGGCUUGGAAGCAGCCAUCCUUUAAAGAAAGCGUAAUAGCUCACUGGUCUAGUAGUAUAGCGCCGAAAAUGUAUAGGGACUCAAGAAAUCCACCGAAACAGUAACUGAUUUCAAAUCAGGGUAGCAGAACGUUCUGUAAACCUAUGAAGUUGUUUUGUAAAAAAUGAUGGAGGUAUCAGAAGUGAGAAUGCUGACAUAAGUAACGAUAAAUUAUGUUUAUAAUCAUAGUCGCCGAAAGUUUAAGGGUUUCGAAAUAUAAGAGUUCGACUUAUUCGAUUUAAACGGUCCCUAAGGUCAAAGCGAAAGCUGUAGCCGAUGGGAUGUUUCUAUAUAGGAACUUCUUUUGUGUAUGACGAAGAAAUAAAGGUUUAUUCUUNNNGAAGNNNNAGUCAAUUUUUUCCAGGAAANAGUCACAAACAACAANANAAGACCGUACCCCAAACCGACACAGGUANAUUGGUAGAGUAUACUAAGGCGCGUGAGAGAACCAAGUUUAAGGAACUCGGCAAAAUGACCUCGUAACUUCGGGAGAAGAGGUACUCCUUUUNANGAGUGACACAAAAUCGGGGGUAACGACUGUUUAAUAAAAACACAUGACUCUGCUAAAUCGUAAGAUGAUGUAUAGGGUCUGACACCUGCCCGGUGCCAGAAGGUUAAGAGGAGAAGUGUUUGCUUCGAAUUGAAUCCCUGGUAAACGGCGGCCGUAACUCUGACGGUCCUAAGGUAGCGAAAUUCCUUGUCGAUUAACUGUCGACGUGCAUGAAUGGUGUAACGAUUUCCCCACUGUCUCAAACUUGGUCUCAGUGAAAUUGAAUUGUCCGUGAAGAUGCGGACUAUCUACGGCUAGACGGAAAGACCCCGUGCACCUUUACUACAUCUUUUCAUUGUAUGUCGGACUACGUCAUGCAGGAUAAGUGGGAGUCUAUGAAACCUUGGCGCAAGCCAAUUGUUGAGACGUCCUUGAGAUACCACUUUUCUUAGAUCCGGAUACUAACCUCUUAUUUUAAAGAAUAGGGGGAACAGUGAAUGGUUGGUAGUUUGGCUGGGGUGGCCGCCUCCCAAAGAGUAACGGAGGCGCACAAAGGUAAGCUCAAGCUGGAAACAAAUCAGCUGUAGAGCGCAAUAGCAUAUGCUUGCCUGACUGUAAGACAGACAUGUCGAGCAGGGACGCAAGUCGGUUAUAGUGAUCCGGUGGUCCAUUAUGGAAUGGCCAUCGCUCAACGGAUAAAAGGUACGCCGGGGAUAACAGGCUAAUGACUCUUAAGAGCCCCUAUCGAUGGAGUCGUUUGGCACCUCAAUGUCGACUCAUCACAUCCUGGAGCUGAAGAAGGUUCCAAGGGUUGGACUGUUCGUCCAUUAAAGUGGUACGUGAGUUGGGUUUAGAACGUCGUGAGACAGUUUGGUCCCUAUCUACCGUAGACGAAUGAAAAUUGAGAGGACCUAACCCUAGUACGAGAGGACCGGGAAGGGUUGACCUCUGGUGUACCGGUUGUUGUAACAACAGCAGUGCCGGGUAGCUACGUCAAUUAAGAAUAACUGCUGAAAGCAUCUAAGCAGGAAGUUGACCUCAAGAUAAAUUUUAUACCAACUGUAAAAGA